AGCUCCAAUAGCGUAUAUUAAAAUUGCUGCAGUUAAAGCGUCCGUAGUCGAAUUUCUUAUGAUUCUGCGUCGUAGAACACAACAUCCGUUGUCGUUUCGUACAUGGAAUUGUAAUUGAGAACUUUAGGAUUUAUUCCCAAAAUUCUUUGUUACCUUGAGCAAACUGGAGUGCUUUAAACAGGCUUUAGCUUGAACAGCUCAGCAUGGAAUAAUAAGAUAGGACUCUGGUUUAUCUUGUUGGUUUCUUAGACUAGUGUAAUGAUUGAAAAGGACACACGGGGACAUCCGUACUUGUUGGAGAGAGGUGAAAUUCUGAGACCCAAUAAAGACGAACAAGUGCAAAAGCAUUUGUCCAGUGUGUACUUG
rnacentral:rRNA from 1 species